rnacentral:rRNA from 1 species
GACGAACGCUGGCGGCGUGCCUAAUACAUGCAAGUAGAACGCUGAAGAGAGGAGCUUGCUCUUCUUGGAUGAGUUGCGAACGGGUGAGUAACGCGUAGGUAACCUGCCUGGUAGCGGGGGAUAACUAUUGGAAACGAUAGCUAAUACCGCAUAAAAUGGAUUAUCGCAUGAUAAUCCAUUGAAAGGUGCAAAUGCAUCACUACCAGAUGGACCUGCGUUGUAUUAGCUAGUUGGUGGGGUAACGGCUCACCAAGGCGACGAUACAUAGCCGACCUGAGAGGGUGAUCGGCCACACUGGGACUGAGACACGGCCCAGACUCCUACGGGAGGCAGCAGUAGGGAAUCUUCGGCAAUGGACGGAAGUCUGACCGAGCAACGCCGCGUGAGUGAAGAAGGUUUUCGGAUCGUAAAGCUCUGUUGUAAGAGAAGAACGAGUGUGAGAGUGGAAAGUUCACACUGUGACGGUAUCUUACCAGAAAGGGACGGCUAACUACGUGCCAGCAGCCGCGGUAAUACGUAGGUCCCGAGCGUUGUCCGGAUUUAUUGGGCGUAAAGCGAGCGCAGGCGGUUAGAUAAGUCUGAAGUUAAAGGCUGUGGCUUAACCAUAGUACGCUUUGGAAACUGUUUAACUUGAGCGCAAGAGGGGAGAGUGGAAUUCCAUGUGUAGCGGUGAAAUGCGUAGAUAUAUGGAGGAACACCGGUGGCGAAAGCGGCUCUCUGGCUUGUAACUGACGCUGAGGCUCGAAAGCGUGGGGAGCAAACAGG